UAGCAAGGUAUAAACGGGUCUAUACGUUGACUCGAGCCAGCUGGGCAGAAAAUGCAGGUGAAUAUCGAAAGUACCCGGACGAAGAUCAAGCGACGAGAAAGAACCGAACACAUGAAGAAGAAGCUUCCGCACGUUGUUUCGUCGAAUUUUUAAACGACAAACUAACUACAUUAUGUUGUUCUAAACUUUAAAUUAUAAAAUUUUUAAUAAACCCGUACUUUGUAAUGUAUAUGUGCUCUUAAUCACAUGUUUAUUAUCUUA
rnacentral:lncRNA from 1 species